GGGAAUCUGCCCUUUGGUCUGGGAUAACUGUUGGAAACGACAGCUAAUACCGGAUGAUGACGUAAGUCCAAAGAUUUAUCGCCAGAGGAUGAGCCCGCGUCGGAUUAGCUAGUUGGUGGGGUAAAGGCCUACCAAGGCGACGAUCCGUAGCUGGUCUGAGAGGAUGAUCAGCCACACUGGGACUGAGACACGGCCCAGACUCCUACGGGAGGCAGCAGUGGGGAAUAUUGGACAAUGGGCGAAAGCCUGAUCCAGCAAUGCCGCGUGAGUGAUGAAGGCCUUAGGGUUGUAAAGCUCUUUUACCCGGGAUGAUAAUGACAGUACCGGGAGAAUAAGCUCCGGCUAACUCCGUGCCAGCAGCCGCGGUAAUACGGAGGGAGCUAGCGUUGUUCGGAAUUACUGGGCGUAAAGCGCACGUAGGCGGCUUUGUAAGUUAGAGGUGAAAGCCUGGAGCUCAACUCCAGAACUGCCUUUGAUACUGUAUGGCUUGAAUCCAGGAGAGGUGAGUGGAAUUCCGAGU
rnacentral:rRNA from 1 species